CCAUCUUUCCAAGGACCAAAUUUUGGCCAAUAGAAGUUUAAGAAUGUGCCAGGACCUUUCUCACUUGAAUGGAAUUGCUGCCACAGUAAAUUAUGUUUUCCAGUCGGUUGGCUGCUCUUCAAUCACAAGGGAAGAGCUCGUGCACAAGAUAAUAAUGAAUAACUUUGAAGUUCUUGAGAGAAAGGAGGUUGAAGAGCAGAUCGAUUUUCUUGGGAAAUUGUUUCCUGAUUGGUUCUGCCGAAGAUCAACACAUAGCGGAGAUAUUAUAUAUAGCAUUAGGGAGGGGACAAGCCUUGAGUCAAUUACGUCAAGGCUCAUUAGUAGUUGACAAUGUUGGGAAGCUACUGCAACUUACAGCAGGUAUUUCGUUUUGUUGCAAAUUAGACUAGGAGGAGAAAGUGCCAUGAGGUUCAGUUGACAUUGCUUGCAUCUCCAAUAUAUACUCAAGGUUGUACUGUUUAA